AUUGAACGCUGGCGGCAGGCCUAACACAUGCAAGUCGAGCGAGCGGCGGACGGGGGAGUAUUGUGUGGGAAACUGCCCGAUGGAGGGGGAGAACACCUGGAAACGGUAGCUAAUACCGCAUACCAUCAGAUGUGCCCAGAUGGGAUUAGCUGGUAGGUGGGGUAACGGCUCACCUAGGCGACGAUCCCUAGCUGGUCUGAGAGGAUGACCAGCCACACUGGAACUGAGACACGGUCCAGACUCCUACGGGAGGCAGCAGUGGGGAAUAUUGCACAAUGGGCGCAAGCCUGAUGCAGCCAUGCCGCGUGUGUGAAGAAGGCCUUCGGGUUGUAAAGCACUUUCAGCGGGGAGGCGUUACCCGCAGAAGAAGCACCGGCUAACUCCGUGCCAGCCGCCGCGGUAAUUC
rnacentral:rRNA from 1 species